CUGUCAGGGCCAUCCCCUACCUCUAGCCGGUUGCCAUGGUCGAGCCGUGCCCCCACUCCUCCACCGAUUACGCGCCACCCCGCCACCCAUCUCCACCCCCUGCGCCCGAACCCAUCGUGCGACCGCGUCACCCUCCUCCUCUCUCCUCCCCCACUCCCUCCGCGGGAAUCGGCGCCGAACCGCCGCCACCACCCCCACGUCGCCGCCCUCACUCCGGCCGGAAAAUCCACCACUCUCGGCCGUGAUCCCUCUCCCCCGCUCCCAAAAAAAGGUUGCGGUGUACCCCGGCAACCUCCUCCCAACGCCAGAGCUCGCCGGAAUUCCGACAUCGCCGUUGCCUCCCCUAGGUGCCGUUGUCGUCUUCCCGUCGCCUUCUCACCGUUGCAUGAGCUCGGUUUUUCCUCGUUUUGCGUGCCAACGUGUAGAAUCUGUCGUUUCGGAAGUGAGCAGUUGCGAGGAAAAGAGUUUGGAAGAUUGUUUGAAGAAGCAAGGCAAGUCACACAUUCCCCCUUGAGCAGGUUGAUCCCAAUUUAUAAAUGUUUUACCAUUUGCAAAUAAAUAUGCAUGUUUUGCUAAUUAAAUUGGAUCCGGGUAUUACCUAUCUACUCGCUUGUGCCAUGUUUACUUGAUAUCCGUUCUUUGUUAACUUGGGCGAUAAUUCGACUAGCUCAUGUUACUUAUGUGACCUAGCUAGAACUAUAUGCUUAGCCAUGCUUAAUUACCACUAGCUCAGUCAAUGGGAUAUUUACAGUAUUAGACAUUUUAGUAUCAGAACGAGUUAUGUGCUCGAGACAUCGACCAUGUUUUAUUGGCCAUAAUUACCAAACUAAAAUGUGACAUAAUGGUGGGCUGUGAGUGGAUGGUUUUGCUAAUCACACCCAUGGCAAUUAAGGACCGGUUCGCGGGAUGCACUGGAAGACUUAUCGCGCUUACCACAAGCGGGAAUGGGUAACUGCUUGAUCUAUAGUAUAGCUUUCGUCUAGUUGACGUUCCUAGGCUAGGGUGAGCGUGAUGGAGUUGGGUCGACCGGGGUCUUCAGUUGAUCGGCUUUUGGAUUCACCGUGGCAUGAGGGGGGCCUGCCCGUUGCUUGCUGGGGGCGAGGGCGAAACCUGAGGUGUGGUGCGAUUGGUCAGAGGGGGUUAUAUGAAGGGUCUUGUCACAAUCACUCGACAUGGUGACAUGUUCACCAUGGGCGGAUGAUGACGCGGUGACA